CCCUUAGAUGUCCUGGGCCGCACGCGCGUUACACUGAUGCAUUCAACGAGCUUAUAACCUUGGCCGAGAGGCUUGGGCAAUCUUUUGAACAUGCAUCGUGAUAGGGAUAGAUUAUUGCAAUUAUUAAUCUUGAACGAGGAAUUCCUAGUAAACGUAGAUCAUCAAUCUGCAUUGAUUACGUCCCUGCCCUUUGUACACACCGCCCGUCGCACCUACCGAUUGAAUGGUCCGGUGAAGCCUCGAGAUUGUGGCCAGCUCGCUUUAUUGGGAGUUGGUUGCGAGAACUUGUCUAAACCUUAUCAUUUAGAGGAAGGUGAAGUCGUAACA
rnacentral:rRNA from 1 species